GCAGUCGAGCGGCAGCACGGGUACUUGUACCUGGUGGCGAGCGGCGGACGGGUGAGUAAUGCCUAGGAAUCUGCCUGGUAGUGGGGGAUAACGCUCGGAAACGGACGCUAAUACCGCAUACGUCCUACGGGAGAAAGCAGGGGACCUUCGGGCCUUGCGCUAUCAGAUGAGCCUAGGUCGGAUUAGCUAGUUGGUGAGGUAAUGGCUCACCAAGGCGACGAUCCGUAACUGGUCUGAGAGGAUGAUCAGUCACACUGGAACUGAGACACGGUCCAGACUCCUACGGGAGGCAGCAGUGGGGAAUAUUGGACAAUGGGCGAAAGCCUGAUCCAGCCAUGCCGCGUGUGUGAAGAAGGUCUUCGGAUUGUAAAGCACUUUAAGUUGGGAGGAAGGGCAGUUACCUAAUACGUGAUUGUUUUGACGUUACCGACAGAAUAAGCACCGGCUAACUCUGUGCCAGCAGCCGCGGUAAUACAGAGGGUGCAAGCGUUAAUCGGAAUUACUGGGCGUAAAGCGCGCGUAGGUGGUUUGUUAAGUUGGAUGUGAAAUCCCCGGGCUCAACCUGGGAACUGCAUCCAAAACUGGCAAGCUAGAGUAUGGUAGAGGGUGGUGGAAUUUCCUGUGUAGCGG
rnacentral:rRNA from 1 species